rnacentral:lncRNA from 1 species
GAGGUUGCAUACGGAUUUGCCGUUGUUGACGUUCUUGAGGUCGCAUAUGAAUUUGCCGUUAUUAAAGUUCUUGAGGUCACAUACGGAUUUGCUGUUGUUGGCGGUCUUGAGUUAGUGGGUCUUGAAUUAGCGAGUUGAGCCGAUGUUGCUGAUAUUCUUGAGCCCGUGGGCGGAACUGCCAUUGCUGAUGUUAUUGAUGUGGUGGAAGAAGCCACCCUGGCAGAGAAUCUUGAGGCCCCAGGUGUAGUCACCCUUGGUAAUGUUGUUGAGGCAACUAGCUGAGGCACUGUUGUUGACGGUCUUGAGGUAGCCGCCGGCAUUGGUGUUCUUGGGGUUGUGGACGGACCCGUCGGUGACCUCGCCUUCUUCUGACCAAGAAACUUCCUGGCAACAUGACGCGAUUUAGAUCUUCUUUCUUCUCUUCUUCCAAACUAGAUGACCCGGUUGUGCCAAUGGCACAAGAACCCAGUUAGAAGCGAUGUUAGUAGUGAGUAAGUAGUAUAUGUAGAUGGAAAGAUAAUGCAAUGUAGAUUGUAUGACAAAUAGUAGGAUGACUUAAAUUGAAUUCAGACAAAAAAAAAUGUUUAGAAAAGGAAGUAAGCAAUUGUGGAUAUGAUGGUGGUUACAAUAAUAGUGUUAACUUGGAUUUCAGAAAGUAUUAAUUUCCCUUUUAGGUCUUUUGGGAUAUUGAUGGACGAUCAUACAUAGGGGAAUGUAAAUGGAUUCUUUAUCUAUAUUGGUCAUAGAAGCAGAAAGCUUGUCACCUAAAUAUAAGAAAAUAUUUGCAUUAAACAGCAGGGUUUAGACGCAGCUGGAGAAUAUUACACGGAUCAAACAUAGCAUCAUGGAUUCCAAAUUUAUACAUAUCAGAGACUAGCGCCAAAAGCAGAGAGUGGUGCCAAAAGCAAACAGGUUCUGAGGGUGAAGCUAUACAGACAGAGCUUCAUAGGCUAUUUAGGUAGUUUAGUAGACUGAACAAGAUAACCAAAGAGUCCAGUGCCAAAAGCUUCUUACGGUGACGCUAUACACACAGAACUUCAUAGGCUAAUUAAGUAGUUUAUUAGACUGAACACGAUGCUCAGAGGGCGUGCACGGUGAGACGCAGGUGCUUGUGGUUGCACUUGAAGGCGAAGGCAUAUAUUUCUCUUUCCUUCGUAUUAGCUGCGGGGAAGAAGCCAGCCCAGCCUCUGGUAAUUGUUGCCCUGUUAUCGACUCCUUUGAUUAGACGGGCUUUGAUGUAGGGAUUUCCAUCUCUAGAUUUUAUUGGCAAGUCAUAAAGCUUUGGGUCAAUACAAUGGUGAAGAUAUUUCUUGGUAAAAUUGACUAAGAAAUACUGUAAAUGAAAGGUAACAACACUGAGAAAAGAAAUAUUGGAAAUGAAAGGUAACAACACUAAGAAGAAUUGUAUAUAUAAUUGCAGGUGAUGUGUAUAGGGUCUUGGCAUUCUUUGAGUGGCAAACAUGUGAGCCGCUUCCUGUAUAGCCUCACUUUGUUUCCCCAUCAAUGACCAUCAAAGCUUAGAAAGUAGAUAGUGUCGGGUGCCCCUAUGCAAUGGUAUAUAAAAUGGUUGGUGUAAGCAUAUGCAUUUACUGGUAUUAGUAGAGUAAAUGAAAACAUUGCUUGAUCAUACGGGUUAUGUAGGCCUUGUGUUCAGCCUUCUUCGGUUUUAUAAAUUUAGUUGUAGGUGUUGUAUGAUGAUAAUCAUGAAGAGGGUUUGAAAGAUUAGUAUGAAUAGGAAGGCAAAUGAAAUUCGGAAUAAUGGCAUUACAAUGGUAAUGGUACAUGGUUUUGUACCAUGCGAUGCAUGCUCCUUUUUCUUGUUUUUCUUGGCAUUCAUGCAACGGUGCGAAGGGCCUACAGAGUUAUAAACAGUAAGAGGUUUAAAACCUGAGUAUAAGCAGUGGGUUUUAAAAGUAAAGCUGUCGUGGUGUGCUUACCGGCAUCAUUACUGAUGUUGAUAACAGUUAGUUUGUAGGCUGCGUUGUUAGGCUGAGGAAGCGAUUCGGAAGACCCGCCAUCAACACCACUGUAAAUAACAUUAUAGAUUUUCAGCAAGGAAAUGCCGCAGUUGUUAUUCUGGUUAACUAUGUCCUUUCUUAAUGCUAUGCAAUAGUCCUUGACAUAAAGACAACUCAAAUCAAAAGAAAGCUAGGUAAAUACUUUCAAAGCAUCCAGAUGGUGGGCACAAACAUCAAUACAAAAAGUGAUAUAAAAUAUUAAGAAAUUUUAGGUUCAUUUAUGUUAUUCCAAGCCAAAAUGUCCCAACCAAAGAGUAGUUGUACCAGCAGAAUAAACAUACCAGGUUUUUUUUAGAACAAAGCAGGAAAGCGCCCAUGGCUAGGAAGCCACAAGAACAAACGACCAAACACAGUACCGCUAUUCGUACAGUCGCUAUUGCUACAAUAGAAUGAGAAUUUUUUUCUUAAUGUUCUUUCUCUCGAUGAAAAAACAGGAUGUUUGCAUGCAUUAUAGAAUAAUAUGAAACAAUGAUAAAUUAGUUGUAGCCCAACUCAGCAUAGAGAUUCAUGCAUUAGAGGAUAGUGGGUUUUAGAGAUAUUGUGUAGUUUCCAGACCAGCAGGCAGCUGACCACAAGUCCGGUUGUACUCCUCGGUGAAUCCAGAUCUUGGGCGGGUUGUCAAUGGACGCCCUUGGCAUAUGCCGUUGGUGGCCCCGAUCUCAAAAAGUCCAGUGCAUUCACCUGUGUUUAGAGAGACAUGACACUAUCAAGACAUGACACUAUCAGACAAAUGCAACAAGGGGUAGGAACCAAAGGCAUGCCAGGGAAAGUUCAGUAGACCUCAUGCUGUAACGUCAGCUAAGCGACUUUCUGUUGAUCCUCAAAAAAAAACUAAGCAACUUUCUACUGAGCAACAAAACUAAAAAGUGGUGUUGUAACAACCUGGGUUCUGGUACUGUGGUCGAAAUGAAUCAGCAAGGGUCCAAUCAGAAGCUAAAAUUCUUUAUAGGUUCUGGUACUGACUACAAAAAGAAAAAACUGGAAAUUUUACUUAUGCACAGUAUAAGUGCCUAGCCAUCAAUUUUUUGCAUCAAAUAUCACAGAAUCCUAUAAAUACAUAUAUCAAAAAAAUCUUCUAAUACUCUAGUAACAUAAUCUAAUAAUUAACAUAUUAACUACACUAUUGCUUGAAGGGUCCAAUCAGAAGCUCCUAAUUAUUUUAGUCUGCCUGGCAAUCUCUGUGUUGCAAUCUUCAAGCAUAUUUUAUAACCAACUUAAUUAUUCAUUGAUAAUGAGGAAGAAGAACUACCUGAGCAGCUGAGAGGAGGACUUGUAUACACUAAAAUCCAAUCUUGUCCAGUGAGAGGAUAUUAAGCAUACAUGUCCACUGAACCUACAAUGCCAAUGAUCUGUUGUGAUACGGUCCCUGAAAUUUACGAUGCUAUAUAAAAUAAUUUUGAGUAGUAGGCAACCACACCAUAACUGAAUCUAUCAGCAAGCAAAAGUCACAUUCCAAUUUUGAAGUAAGCAUGCAAUUUCCAAGUUAAAUGCAAACAUACUGUAUGAACCGGAGAGAAUAGAUCUCAAUGGAUUAAAUAAGCAAUAGAUACAAAAUAUGUACCUGAGGCUGAACUUAUUUAGAAACUUAAUAACUAAACUAUAUGUGUGAGCUAGUAAUCUCUCCCAUAUACUGAAAAGGAAAGAUUGCUAGUAAAAGAGUCAACAAGACAACCAAUAUGCCCAAGCUCCAGAGAAAGAAAUAACCCAAAUACACUACCAAAGCAAAGAAAAAGUGACAGGGAAAAGAAAAGAAUGAUCGACCUAAAGAGAUUGUAAGAAAAACAAAAAUAGUCACAAAUCAUUUGUCCUUUCUGAGUUGAAUUACUCCUUCCAAAGCAAAUGGUCAAGCUGGCUGUAGGAAGGAACACCCAAAAACAUGGCAAGAAAAGGGCAUCAGUAAAAAUGAGAAAAAUAUAUCUAUAUGAAUAAUCAUAAGGAGUUGAUGGGAGGGAGAAGCAUACCUAGCAGAAUUUCGCACCGACAUGUUAGGUUUUGUUGAGACGGACACCAAGUCGAGCAUUGGAAUAAAUUGUACACAGACUUGCAAGCACCAUGGAGUACAAUUUCACAACCAAAUCAAAAGUACACAGGUGGAGCACGGUAGGGAAGCAAGGGAAUGGAAGAAGGAGCUCAUAGGGAAGAUGCGACCAUAAAGUGAAGAGGGAGUCCAGCGGUGUAUCCUCAUCUCCUCCCCUGCUGCUCCUCGAUGGUGCGCCCCUCCUACGAUGGCGACCGAAGGAAGUGGCCGGUGGGCAUUGUCGGCAGGGCUGAGCCAUCUUCCUCGCUGGCUCUGUCUUCCCCAUCUUCCUCGGUGUUGACCACUCAGCUAGCUCUAGAGAGAAAUAGAUACAUAAACCGCAAGAAAUAGAUACAGAAACUGCAGCACUUAUCAAUAAAUAUAUGAGUUUAAAAGGGAGCAGUAAGCCCUUUUCUCUCGGUUAAGAGAUCAUGGAGAGAUAAAUAUGAGCUUGCUCGUAAAUAUGCGAUAACAAUUCAAUUGCAUGAAGCCGAGCAAAUCCUUUUUAGGACAUAAAUCUUUGAUUUGGCUAGUACCAAAAUUGGCUAGUAAUUUACCCUUGCCAUCACAAAAAGUACAUGUAGUACCUAACAUGAAAAAGUAAAAAGAGAUGGAAUUAAUCACACCGAUAAAACCACACAUCAAUAAAAAAGAGGGAAUUACAUACAAGAUUAUCCAUGUAAGUCUAGGUGCAUAUGAAGAUUGUACUGAAUAGCAUUUGUACAGAAGAUAUAAAAGAACACCAAAUUACACAUUACUGAAGUGAACAUAGAAACUGGCAGCAAAAUAUAAGAGGAUAAAACUUUGAACAUGUUGAUCGACAAUUCUCUAUAGCUUGCAAAUACACCAAUGAAAGGCAACGUGCAAUUUGAUGAUACAAACCUGGCUAAAGUUAGUAGAGUCAAAGUGCCUAAACCUGAAAGAAAAUAGUGGCACCACAAAAUGCCUCUCAACCACCUGUUGGCUAGAUUUAUUUUAGACGGUGGAGUGUACAACCCCUACAAACUAAAACAAAAAAUAAUAAGCACGAGAAUGGCAAACAAUGCAAAUAAAAAACAGUUCAUUCGGUAGCAACCCACAACGCUAAUGGCUAGUCAAGUGAAAUAUAUAGAUGAAAAUGAUAAAAAAAACAUCCAUAUAUUUAGAUACCAAUAAGGGCAUAUCCAAGCAUUACAUGCAUGACAACCUCAAAUCGAUGGGGUCUGUUUGGUUAGAUCAGAAUGAGCAAAAUGGAAAACAGUUGCAAACAUUCAGCACAAGGGAACAAUGGUGAAGUGACUCACUCUACACUCCAAUCUUGCAUAGCAUCACAGUAAUGCCAGGUCACUCAUGGGAAUUAAAAUAAAUUAAUCACAUCAUGCUACAAAAAAAACAGAAAAGAAAAGUCAAACCCUCUAUCCUAGACCUUCCUCCCUGUGAAUUUCUAAGACACAGGGGCAGCACAAAGGAAGACAUUUUUGCAUAUAAUAUUCAUAAAUGAAGUUUUUACUCAUUAUCCAUUAGUAACAGAGACAGCUUAAUAAUAUGAUUUCUUGGUAGACAAACAAUUACAAGAUGUGACAGUAGUGUGAUGACACAAAUAACAUAUUAAAAUACCAAUAAAUUUAGAAAAAUGGAUGAUGAAUGACUAAAUUUACCAAACCAAAUAAGGUCCAGAUACUACAGGUAAUAACUAAUCACUUGACUAAUUGCAGGUAAUGCAUAAUCGAACUACUGAAAUGGCAUGUACAGGCAGCCACCAAGAUCUGUAAUGCAGUCAUAAACCUGCACAUUAAAAGGCUGAUAUUGUUCUUAUUCAUUACUGCCUCAUACAACAGAUCCGACCAACCUAUAGCUCAGGUGGUGCUCUCCAAGGCGGAGAAAAUGACGACCACCCGACCAGGUUGUGCGCAGCAACGGAAUCCUCUUGCUCGGCCGUGGCGUCGAUUACUGCCGUGUAGUAACACAUCUCUAAGCUGCAGCACAAAAAUCAUUCCUAUUCAGAAGAAAACAGAAGUGCUGACGGGUACGAAAGAAUUUCGUCUGUAGAUACUAAUUAGACCAGGAAGCAACGGAAGUACGAACCAGAGCGCCUGUAGGUACGAAUCCGCAGAGGCUGGCGAACGCGUUGCGCGAGAACCCCGUCCACGCCUCCGGGAAGGAGCCAUUGACGACGUACACGAACUACGUCGCAUUGAUGAGCCACCAGGAGGCGUUGCCGACCAUGGCCGCGCCCAGGAGGCCACGGCCGAGCCUGGCCACGAUGACCCAGUUGAGCAGCGCAUGCACGCCGACCGCUGCGCCUGCAACUCUCACUGCCUCCCAAGAAGGAUGUGCCAGGAUGCGUCGGGAUGGACGCGGAUCAGGACGGGCGGCCUGCGGCGGCGGCGUGCUCCUCCAUUAGGCUGGGAAGCCUUCCUGACCACCCCUGUUGUCGGGUGACCUGCGUGCGAGCGAUUGAAAGGCGAGGAGGAGGAAGAGGCGAGGCGGUGGAGGAGUAGGAGUUGGCGGCCGGGCUCCUAGGGCGGAGAAGGAGGAGGAGGAGGUGGGAGGGAGCGUGGCGGCGGGUGAGGGAGGGAGGAGGAAGGAGCGUGGGGGCUGUGGAUUGGGGAGGGAGAGGGAGGGGCGUGGGGGCUGUGGAUUGGGGUUAGGGUUCACGCGGUUGCCAGCCAAUCAGAAACUGCUCACGCUCCGCCAAUCUUCACGUAACGUACAGAGAAACCCAGCCUCUGGUUGCUGGCCCCCACAGUCUCAGGACCCCACCCGUCAUCCUCUGUUGAAGUGGCCACAGACGUGAAAAAAAUGGACGGUUGGCCAGACGCCAGCUACCAAAAAAAAACACUGUUACCGCCUGAGUAACUCGAUCGCGCGGUCAAAAAACACAGUGCGUGCUCGAUGCCUCCAGAUCGGCGGGUACUUUAGGAGGCUUUAUAUGUUCGAUGAGGUGAGCUGAGCUGAGUGAGGUGGAUGUGGUGUUUGCUUUGCUCCGGUUGGGUUGAGGAAGCCUGCAUCGAUGGGAAUGUAUAUAUAGGAGUAUAAUGGGCUGUUGAGGUGUUCGACCAGUCAGUCUCUUUUGUUUUGUUGGAAGUAGAUAUGCAUAUUCAAUGCAUGCAUUAGUUAUUGAUUGAUGGAUGAAUGGACUAACGGAUGGAUGGAUGCGGUUGGUCAAUGGUCGUGGUCGUCGCCGCGUUGGUCUUCCUUUCUUAUACAUCAGAAUUAGCGUUAGGCUAGUCAUAGUGGGGAGUAACUUAAACUAGCACUAUUAGGAAAAACCUUAUCACAAAAUCUUAACAGCAGCGCGGUUUAAAAACAGACGCUACUGCUAAUUAGCAGUAGCGAGCUUCAGAAUACCGCGCUACUAAUAGCACGGUAGCAGUAGCGGUCUAGGUGAAACAAGCGCUACUACUAUAAUUGCCACGGCGUUGCCCCCAGGCUAGAUAUAGUAGUAGCGCCCUUCCGAAGAUGCGCUACUGCUAACGUACUUAGUAGCAACGUUUUUCUUCAAAACACGCUACUGCUAAGUAUUGCACCUAAUUAAGUUUAGUCCCAUACUGCUAAGCGAACAAGGUGUUUACCACCUUAAAUAUGUUACUUCUCAAACUAUCUCGAGCACUUGGUCUUCAUUGAACUAUAUGUGUAGGAUUUGUGGCUGCCAUAUGAAUCUUCACCAGUGCCUAUAUAGGUACUGUGAGGAUUCAUGUUGACUAUUUAGAUUCUACACAAAAAGAUCAAUGAUGACCAAUGUAUAUUUUUGAAGUUUUUACAUGCUUAGACAUAGCAGUAGCGUUUUUUCAGUGCAAAGCGCUACUGAUAUUAUAAAACAGAAAGGAAUAGCUGUAGCGCAUUUCACUUGACACGCUAUAGCUAACUUAGCUAUAGCACAUUCCAGAAAAACGCGCUACUGCUAGUUUGACUUAACCCCCGGCCGCGCGGGCUUAAAAUUUCGCUAAGUCCUUUGACUCCACUUCCCCCUCUCCCCCAACUGCUCCAUCGCCGCCGUCGCACUGCCGCUCUCGACCUCACCGCCGCCGCCUACCGCCGCCCUCAACCUCACCACCGUCGCCGCCCUCGACGCCGCCCCCGACCCCGACCUCGACGCCGCCCCGACCCCGACAUCGACGGCGCCCUCCGCCGCGUGCCCGAGCCCUGACCCCGUCCUCGACGCCGCCUGCCCCUCCCUUGCCGCAGUCACCAUAAGGCUCUGCCUCUCCUCUCCCCUACCCUCCUUCUCUCUCUGCUAGGGCAAUUCAUAUAUGUGUUGAUGUUCAUAUGAACCCUAGGUGUUCAUAUGAACCCUAGAUUUGUUUAGGGCAGUAGGCAUUUUUUAGCAUUUAAGAAAAAUGCUAAGCAAUUUUUUUAGGAAAUUAGCUAGGGCAAAUGUUUAUGAAAAUGCCUAAAGAGUAAUUUCAUUCAAAAAACAAAAAACAGAAUUGUUUUUCUUUCAAAAACUUGGUUAAACUAAUUGUUGCUAUGUAAACAAAAAACAAGAUUGUUGUUAUAUGAUAUAUGUCAUUGAUGUUCAUUUGCAUAUUCCAUUAUUGAAGUGGUUCGAUUGUGCCCAAGUGGCUUUGUUGUUUCCAGGGAAUGAAGUCGAGUGCCCUAUGUUUUGCCGAAAUGUUGAUUCAUUUCCGUUUCGGCAAAUUUCAGGUUCUCGAUUUGUCCACUUUUUAGUAAAAGUCAUGCCGAAAUUUUCCGUGAAUUUCGGCAUGACUUGUGCUACAAACUAGGACAUAUCGAGUGCCUGGGAUUUGCCGCACCGGGAAGGAGUCAAUAUUCCUGCAAAGCAUAGGCCUUUUUUAUGUCAUUAUUCAUUUUAUUACGUAUAGACUUAAUUGACUAGAUUUAAACGUAAGAACUAGUUGAAUUAAUAGAACUAGUUGAACACGUCACAUUUGUUGUUAUUUUUUUAGUUAAAGCAAUUUUUCCCGCAUCGACGUCGACGAUGCCUAUCCCGCAUCCUCGUCGUCGAGUCGGCGGAGGACACCUGCGUCACCAGAUGGGCCAUGUCCGGGACUGGGCUCCGCCGGGGUGGUACUGGGAGGCGCUACCUACCGGGGGGCACAGGUUGGUGAGGAGCCAGUCUGUCGUUGACCCGAACCUUCUUUGGUGGCGGUCGCGUGGGCCAGUGACGGUCCAGAGGCUUGAGGACCCCGCGGAGGUGGUGCGUCACCAUGUCAGUGAGGAGGACGCGCACGUCCGUCGCUACUUGUUUGCGUUGGAGCACAGGUUCUCCAAUACAUGGCAGGUUCUCCAGGGAUCUCACUAGAGCUAUGAUCUUGUGAUGGUUCCUUCUCUUUGGGUGUCCACCGCCCGCGCCGAUACCCGUCGUGCGCAAGGGUUUUAGUUGUAUUAGUGAUGUUAUAUGUAUGAUACUAUUCGGGAUGUAUUAGUGAUAAUAUUCGAGGAUGUACGGACGCAUGAGAUGAUUUACUUUUGCUUAUUGAAUGCAUGCUAAUUUGAAUACUUAUUUAUUUUACGAUUUGGUUUUGCUUAUUGAAUGCUCAUGUCAAUAUGAGUCCUAUAAGAUGUUUUGAGUAUCCUGGUAGUUGUCUUCGAUUGAUUUUCAAUUAAUGUUUCAACUAUGAACAUAGGAAAUGUCUGACAACGAAAAGGAUUUCGGUAUUUGCAAAUACUGCGAAGACGAGCGCGGCCUGUGCGACAGAAUCUUCCUAGAUGAUGAUAGGCGCUUCAGCAUCAAGCUGGACGUGAACUUCGAAGUGGAUACAGUAAGUCACAACGACAAGUCUUUUUUCGUAAUUAAGCAUGACAUCUGCUUCAUUUGCUUCAACUUAUAAUUUAAUUUUUUUACUAUUCUACUAGCCUAUCCCCUUCCAUGCAAGAGUUUUUGUCUUGGAUAAGGUAGGUUUCAGUCGUACUAUGGAGGUAAAGAAAGUUUACUUGAAUACCGAGCAUGGUUGUAUUUUUCAUGCAAAAUUAUACAACACAGACGACUACACCUAUUUUGGAUGCAAAACUUGGCGAGCACUAUGCAAGACUUAUGCAUUUGAGCCUGAUAUGGUUAUCACCUUUGAUAUUCGUCCGGAAGAUGAUAUUGAAGGUAAUAUCGACAUCUGGGUCGAUGUACAGACGCCUCUAGUUAUACCAUUAUGUGAGUUUCUCAACCAUAUUUAUGUCUUUGAUAUUGUUCAUUCAAAAAUAGUUGACAACUAAUUUUUAUUGUCAGCUUAUUUCCAUUCAAGAAAACAUGUCCAACGCUUGGUAGACAGGACCUACUACUGUCCCCGGGCUGAACUGAACUGCGAGGAGCUAAGUCAUUAUGUUUCAUGCCUUGAGGAUCUUGAUACUGUCAAGACAAAUUUUCUUCCUGCACUUAGAAAUGUUAAUACUGAAAAUGUGCGACCAAUAGUGUUCGUAAUGAACUAUGGUCACAUCUAUUAGGAAAGAUGGUAAGAUAUUUACUAUUUGCCCUCAGUGCAUCUUUUGCAUACAUUAUUUUUUAAGCUAAACUUUAUUGCUAAGUAUGUUACUAUAUGAUGUUCUUCAACAGGGACUCCCGAUGAAUGUUGUGCCUCAUGGGAUCGAGACUAAAGGUACCAUGAGUAUUGUUAGCUUACGGCCAAGAUAUCCUACAAUGCACUUUAGUGCAUUCAGGAUUUCUAAUAGCGAAGAAUGCUUAAUAGUGAAAGACUGGACCAAAUUUGUGAUGGAGGAGUGCAGAGAAGUAGUAGGUGGCAGCAAUCAAGAGCGCAGCCCAUGAUUAGGAGACAGGUUCAUCUGCAUGCUCCAACUUGAUGAAGGAGGAGAGCUACACAUGUUUUAUGUUAUUUUACCUGAGAGAGAGCAGCAGGAGUGAUUAGCUACCUAGAAAUGAGUUUGAAGAUGAUGAUGUGCUACACUAUGACUAUGUUGAUUAAAUAGCUAGUGUUGGUGGUAAUGACUAUGAUGAUUAUUAUUAGCUAGUGUUGGUGGUGAUUAGAUAGCUACCGCAUCUAGUGUUGGUGGUGAUUAGCUAGCUAGCUAGAAUGAGUUUGAAGAUCAUGAUGUGCUACACUAUGACUAUGGUGAUUAAAUAAAUACUGUUGCUGGUAAUGACUAUGAUGAUGAUUAAAUAGCUUGUGCUGGCGGAUUAGAUUCAAAUGGAGGCAACAUGUGGUGCACAUCGAAAGUACUACUAGUCCAAACUAGAUCAAGUUUGGAUUAGUAGUAUACUUUUGACAUGCACCACAUAUUGCCUCCACUCGAACCUAAUCCACCUUCAUUUGACACACUGUUAUGGACAUAAUGAUAUAAACCUCAUAAUUGGUAUUGUAUCAAAAUUUGUAUAACGGCGUAUAAAUACACUAAAAAAAAGAAUACUUGUAGCGAUGGAUAGUAAACACGCUGCAACUAGCUAGAUUAGCAGCAGCGCGGGAGAGAACAAGCGCUGCCGCUAUGUGUCUUAGCAGCAGCGCGUGUCGCACGCGCUACUGCUAAGUAAUAGCUGUAGCAGCCUCAAGUUUUCCCUAGUUGCGUAGUAACAUACAUAUGUUACUACUCCAUGUUACCACCUUCAUAGUGGGAAGUGUCAUAGGUGUAGUAACAUGCAUAUCUUUCUUUGUUGCCUUGUAGACUCAUUUUGUAUUGGGAACUGCUAUGUGAUGGUAACAUAUUAUGUUACUCUAUUUGUCUCUCUCCUCUUUAAUUACAUGACACAUCAUCUUGUUUGCUUAUGUGGCAUCUAUGUUACUACUUAUGUUACUCUCACUAUGUCUAGCCUAAGGUGGAGAUUAGGAAAUAGAAAACUAACAGAAUAAGGAUAAAUUGUAUAAUUACAUACAAAAUUAUAAACAACAUGCAAGAUGUGGAAUCCAUCUGUGUGCCGACUCGGUUGGGGAUUGUGCACACGGCAUGAUUGCUGAAAGUUGGUCUGUUAGUGAUGGUCAAUCAUGGAUGAUAUUUUCUUUGCAGUAAGUGUACCUAUACUGCAUGCAUGCAGUAAUACAAGUGGCAAUCCAUCUUGUCCCUUGUUAACCAGCACUGGCUCGGUCGAAGAGCAUAGGACAUGCCACAACCACACCACUAUACUCGUCAACUAUAUAUUAGUCAAAUUAUACUUGAUUAGGAAGGUAGGCUUAGACCAUGUCAAGAUUCAAGGAAGAAUGUUGCCUUCCUCAACCCUUCCUUUCCUAAUUAAUUUGGUCCUCGAAGUACCAUUGCAUUGCAAUGGCCACAAGUAUUGGAGUAAGUUAAGUAUGUGAAACAUGUGCCAGCUUCUGUCGAUCGGUGAGAUGCUGUAGGUAUUAGAGUCACCGGAGUCUUGCAACUACGUAGUCUAGCUUCUGAUUUGGCACUCUAACUCAGCUGGCCGCAUGACUCUUCCAGUCACCAAACCACCAUCACAAUCGCCACGGUGAUGACAAAUAAUGCCGGCACUAACAGUAAAUGAUAGAAAAGAAACUGGAUGGACACAGGGAACACAACCUACCACACGUCUUCACAACACAAGAGAAAAAAAUUACUUAACGAGAACCAGCACGCUUCUGGCCUACAUACAAACUAGCCAUGUGGACUUCGCGGGCUAGAUCGAGACGAGUUUACAAAUUGACUUCUUGCAACCUAAACUAACCUACUUGACACAAACACACCCAAGUUCAUCAUCGAGUUUACAAAUUGACUUAUUUAACCUAAUCUAAUCUUGACAGAAAUACACUUAACUUCAUCAUGCAGGCCAACAUCGAUGGAGAUCUACGAGCAGUUCGAUGGGCGGCUGCUCUCACUUGUUUUGGGGCUUCUUCUUAGACAGCAGCAUCUGCAUCUUCUUAGAUGUCGUGGGUUUCGUCUUGGUCACCACCUUCUUCUUCUUAGACGAAGCGGACGGUGCCUGCUUCACCUUAGCCUCCGCCUUCUGAGGGAGAUACUUUGUACCUGGCUUUCCCAUGACGCGAUCUGCUUAUCUUCUUCUUUUGGUCGAUGCGGUGUUUCCUUUGCUCCGCUUGGGUUGAGGGAACCUGCAGCAACGGCAGCAUUUAUAUAGGCCGGACAACACGCUUCUCCCAUGGUAAUGGUUUGGUGACAUUGCUGCAACCAGUCAGUCUCUUUGAUUUGGUUUUUUAGAACAAUUGUUAUUGACGGAUUAAUGUGGUUGGGUUAAUGGUCGUGGUCAUUGCCGCGUUGGUCUUUUUUUUUCUCCUCCUCAUUAUACUACUAUUACUACCACAUCAGAAUUAGCUAGCAUUAAACAAAUGAAAUAGCUAGCGUUACUGAUUAAGUUUUAGGUACAUAUGUGUAGUCAUAUGCAUAUGCAUAUCUACGUCAUGAGUUAUAUAGAUCGGUGAUGUACGAAUACGCGCUUUUGCUGUUGUAUCUUGUAUAAGAUUUUCAACUAGUUCUUGAGCUUGGAUUGUCAAAACCAAUUCUAAUCGUAUAUGGUCUACCAUGUAUACAUGGCAUAUAUAUAUAAGGUAUGUACGAUUUUAGUGUUUAGGAUAGCAACUGGGUGGCCUCGCACUCGAGGCAGAGGAAUAAGGAGUUCCUUGACGUCAUGAUCAGGGUGCUGAUUGCGGCUGGGUGCCUUCUGGUGUAGCUUCUUUGACGGUGCUUCGUCGGCUCUGUGGAGCUUUGUACCCCAUUUUUCUUUUCUUUUCCGGCAUAAUUGUGUUGUUGCCCUAGCAGGUCCUUUAUUUUUAUGUUUGACCCUUGAACUUGUUGUACAUACAUCAUGGUCUGCCUUUAUAUAUAAAGCUGGGCGAAAGCCUAUUUCGAGACUCGGUGACCCCGCCUGUCGACUUGUGUGACCAUGAGUGGGACAAGAUACUCGAUUUGCCUAUCUUGUUGAAUGCAAGGUGCUUAGGGGAGGUUCUUAGAGAAAUAAACCAACUUUUCUUUGUGCAUCAAUUCUUGUUUGUAGGGGUAGAUGCUUAAUUAGGCAUCCCUCCUAUAGAGAUAACCGAUGGUUCUUAAACAAGAAACUUAAAGGUUUUUCUUUUGAAUCAGCGGACGUUCAUAUACAUGAAUGUACACUCCUUUAUGAAUUCACACACGCACACUCUAUCCCUUAUGAGCACCUCCAAGAAAUUGAACCAACAGGUCGCGAGAUUGACGAAGUCACGACUUGUGCAUCGCUACCGAUGGGCUCAUCGCUUACAGCAAAAUAAUAAGUCAUUAAACCAUGAAAUAUAUCCGGAAAAGUGCAAACACCCUUCUCAAGUCAAGGACUUGAACCCGGUUGGAUAGCUUCCACCACAAGGAACAUAACAAACUGUGCUAUGCUCAAUUCACCGAAGAGAUAAUGGUUUGCAAUGUAUUAACCCUAUAUGUAUCUCUUUUCUGACUCUUUCUUUUUAUUCAACUUCCCGACAAUAACCUCCCACACGACUCAUAACAGAAAACAAGGAAAAAAAGACUUAACUUGGCCGCAACGUGAACCAGCACGUUUCUGGCCUACAGACAAACUAGCUACGGAUUCUACAGGAGUGAUCGGAUCAAAUCAAGCUUACAAAUUAACUUAUUGUAACUCAAACUGACCUACUCGACAGAAACACACUUAAAGUUCAUCUUGGCCAGUGGACGUCGAUCACCGCAUGUCUGUUGUCACCUUUUUCGAGGCUAAUUCUUCUUAGAUGGCGUCGUCUGUUUCAUCUGCUUCUUCUGAGGCAGGAGCGACGUCCUCCUAGAGGUCACUGUCUUUGUCAACUGUGUGUUGCUUGACGAUGCCUUCGCCUUCUUUGGGGGAACCAUUGCAGCUUGCUCACCCAUGACAAGAUCUGCUUCUCUUCUAAUAAUCCUUCUUCUCCAGUGAGGUAGCUGAGGUGAGGUGGAUAUAGUGUUUACUUUGCUCUGGUUGAGUUGAGGAAGCCUACGGUAAUGCCUCCAUAUAUAUAGGAGGGGGAAGGUCUUUGAGAAAGCGCUCCAGCCGGACGACGCACUUCCACCGUGCGUGAGAAUGGUUUGGUGGCGUUAAUGUUGCCAGUGCCAGUCAGUGUCUUUUGUUUUGUUUUGGGAGUAGAUAUUUACUAGUACUGCCUCUGUUCCUAAAUAUAGGUCUUUCUAGAGAUCUCAACAAGUGACUACAUACGGAGCAAAAUGAGUGAAUCUACAAUCUAAAAUACGUCUAUAUACAUCCGUAUGUGGUAGUUCAUUUUGAAAUCUCUAAAAAGACUUAUAUUUAGAAAUGGAGGGAGUAUAUUCAAUGCAUUGUUCUUCAUGGAUGGGUAUGCAGUUGGGUCAAUGGUUGUGGUCGCUGCCGCGUUGGUCUUCGUUUCUUCUCCUCCGGCUCCUUAUAUUACAACUACAUCAGAAUAAGUGUUGGUGGUUCAGUUUUGGUAGCACACGCCAUACACACACACACUGCUUGUUAGUUGUUAGUCAUAUAUAUUCAUGUGCUGUACGUCCUUCAUCAUUGAUGUAGUAAGUGCACACGAUGUUGCCAUUGUAUGAGAUGUUUUGAUAGAGCUUAAGUUUAGAUUAGUUAAACCGAUUGUUAUCAUGUGCGACAAAUCCUGUAUAUAUGUUUGUAACGUUGUAUAUUAGUUUCCGCAACAAAAACUUUGUAUACUAGUUAGGGGUCGAGUUGAGAAACGGGAGAGAAGAGUUAUUUACCCAGGUUCAGACCUUGCAAGGGAGAAGUUCUCUCUGUUCUAUUCAACGGAAUUCUUCAGUUAUUAUGGCUUGUUGACUAUUUGGUUUCUGGGUGUUUGCCUAAAUUCAUAACUUUUGAUGGCGGGCCAAAAAUAUGUCAAUUUUCUCCCCUCAAAAUGGUUGGGCCCAUACCGACGAUGCGAGAGGUGGUACCAUGUGCCACCAUAUGUCAAGUGUUUGGAAUAAAUGCAUCGCAUUACACAUUAGUUGUAUAGAUGUCCAUCAUACAUUUAAAACAUUAAGAUGAUUUUGAAAAAUGCCUCCUUCUGAAACCCUAACUGCCACGGCUCAAUUAUGCAGGGAUUCUGGAAAGAAUACUAACUACCUACUACGAAGUAGCCAUACCAACUAACUAUUGAUCAUACUAAUCUAUCUAUAUAUACCUAGUGUUGAUUCAGUCGGAAAGCACAAGGCGUGCCGCGCCACUAAAGCGGUCAAACAUUAGUCAAAUUAUAUUUCAUCAGCUGGCAAGUAGCAUUUUUUUAAUUUUUUGCUAACUUUCUAGAGAUUUUUUUUCUUUCAAAGUUCUUUAGUGAAUUUUAUCAAUAUGCUUGAACUCUUUUAAAAUCCAUGAAACUUUUUUCUCAAAACCAUUGAAAUUGUUUCAUGAUUUUGAAAAAAAUCUUAUUGGUUUUGAAAAAUUCAUGGUUUUUGAUAAAAAAAAGUUCACGCAAUUGCUCUGUUUUUCUAUCGAGUUCGUGAACAUUCUUCCCAAUUUCAUGAAAAAUUUCAAAUCCAUGAUCUUUUUCAAACUCGUGAACAGUUUUCAAAUUGACAACUUUUAUCAAAUAAGUAAUAAAAUUUCAAUUUUAUGGACUUUUGGAAAAUCUGCGAAAUUUGUAAAAAUCAUUUUUUUCUCAAUUUAUUGAACUCUUUUCAAUUUCACAAACUUUUUUGAAUUCAUUAAAUAUUAUGAAUACAUGAACCUUUUUAGAAUGGGCGAACUUUUUUCUAAAAUCUGUGUUAUUUAAAAUGUUGAACAGAUUUUUUUUUAAACCAGUUUUUUCCUAAAAAUUUGAAAAAAUUUGAAAAUCUAAGCGAUAAAGCAAAGCAUACAAUAUGUUGUGUAAUAAAUAGCAUGACUACAGUUGUUCUUAACCAAUUCCUGACGCAAUCAGUUGCUAUCGCUAAGUAGCUCUAGUGGUUGGCCAAACAUGUACGUGAGUGUAACGGCUCAAGUACAAUUCCUGGAGGAGGGCCAUCUUUUUCGGGAUUCUUUUUCACGCUAUUAAAUGCAAUAAGGGCGUGUUUGGUUCUAGUUUGGAACAGUAGUCGCAUUGCAUAGCCUUCUCAACCCAGCCUGGUUGAGGAAAAACAGGCCCUAAUAUGCCAUAUGCAACUUGUUUGGUUGCCUGCAUCUCUAGUCCCUGCAUUAGGUAAUACGCAAGUGCACCAACGCCACGACACAACAAUGGUGACGAACUGGGCGAAGAUGAUGAAGUUCUUCAGCUUUAGGCCGAACUGACAAUCCACCUUAGCAGCUUCCACUUUGACAGCUCCAACCUUGGCACUGUCGACACUGCUGCCUCCGUGCUUUCGCAACCAGGCGGAGUAAGCUUGUUCUACUGCCUGACUAGUCUUGAACCCUCUAUAGUUGUUGUUGCUAUACGAUGCCACUUGUGCAUUGGCUUCUUCCCAUGAACUACAAACCCCUGGAACCUCACCGAUGAACAUGGCAUACCACUUGCCCUAGCAAUGCACAAGAGCAAGAGUUGAAGCAGCAAAUCAAUGGAGCACAAGUAGCAAGCAAAGUAGCACACAAACAACAAUGGAGCAAAAGAGAAGUAAAGCAUGCAUGAUCAUACGGCAUAGCAAGUUCAACCUAGCACUACCUUGGUGUUAACCUACCACCACAUCCAAAAGAGGGUGUCGUCCUACCACCGCAAGUUCACCAUUAGCGUGAGGGGUUAGUAUAUACCACCUCAUCAAAAUAUACAGACCAUCAAAUAGUUUUUGAGCCCUAGCUACACGAAAUGUACGUCGUCAUUGUCAUCGUCGUCGUCGUCGCCAUCGCCAAAAUGUGAGCCCUAGCUACACAAAUAGUUGUAGAAUAUUCUACCAAGAUAUUUAGGUAUUUGGAUGCCACUACAUUUUUUUAAUAUUAGAUUAUGUGUCACAACUGAAUUUGUGGUGGAUAUGGUCAGUUAUAUUUCCUUAUAUUUAGGGGGAAAAUUAUAUAUUUGAUUGUUCGAUCCCUCCAAAUCUUGGUACAAUAUUCUACCUAGAAAUAUUAUAAUAAAUAUCAUAAUAUAGUUAGCGCGACAACUUAAUUUAUUAAAGAAUGUGGUGUUUUGAAUUCCCUAAGAGUUAGGGAAAGAUUUUUUUUCAAAUGUCUCAAGAUAAAAUAAUCAUCGAAUAAUGUCUUCACUCUAUAGUUUAACACAAAAGGAGCAUUUGUAAUGAUAAAUCAUUGACAUUCUUUAUAUUUUUGAGAACCACUAUGUUCACAUAUUGGAUAGUGCUUAUCAUUAUCUUAGAAAUAGUUAUUGCCUGCUAUUUUGAGAAACAAAAAAAAUUAAAUUAUAUACUUACAAGAUAUAUUAAUAAGAAAAAUAACAUAUAAUUGUGGUAAAAUAACUAAGUUACUAAAAGUAAAAAAUAAUAAUAUAAAUAAUGCAUAUGUAUAUAUUUCCAACAUCAGACGUGUGUUUCAUGAAGGCAUUCUGCAACAGUCUACAGUAGUGUCGGUAGACGUUAUUAUAUAUCGGCUACUAACUUGCAAGUUCACACACCGAGCUUACAAGAUUAUAACUAGUUCAUUCCUAAUCCAACUCUAUACAGGCAGGGGUAAUGCUACAAUGUAACCAUGCGGCCCGGACAAGCUGAUGGAUGAUCACUGUGCCUUCUUCACCAUUCCGACUAGGGGCCGACCAUCAAGUCCCACAUCAUAUUUGACACCUGCCAAAAACACCUCGACUUCAAAACCACAAACCAUCCAUCGAUCAGAUGCAGAGGCCGGGGGUAUUCCUCCUUUUCUAAAAAAAAUAGACAGUGAGCACUGUAUCAAUACCUAUGGCUUCCUUAUUUCAAUAGAAUAUAGGACAUCCUUGACUGAUGCGAAGACCUUCGGGGACUGCUUGCGGAGCUCCAAUAUCCUCCUUGCUCUCCUCUUUCUGAUUUCCUGCACAUUCACAGCUGAUAAGAAGAAGAAAAAUGCAUCACUUGAGAUCCAGAGCUAGAACGAACCUUCAUGGUCUGUAGUUCCUCCCUGCAAUGCACAUAGAUACAUGUAGUAUUAGAUAAGCAUAAACAGUUCCCAAAUACUCCCUCCGUUUCUAAAUACAAGUCCUUUUAAAGAUUUCACUAUGGACUACAUAAGAAGCAAAAUGACUGAAUCUACACUCCAAAGUAUGUCUACAUACAUCCGUAUAUAUGUAGUUCAUAGUGGAAUGUCUAAAAAAGACUUAUAUUUACGAACGGAGGGAUUUAUAUAUGUAGAUCACGGAGCCGUCAAAUGACAUUGUNNNNNNNNNNNNNNNNNNNNNNNNNNNNNNNNNNNNNNNNNNNNNNNNNNNNNNNNNNNNNNNNNNNNNNNNNNNNNNNNNNNNNNNNNNNNNNNNNNNNNNNNNNNNNNNNNNNNNNNNNNNNNNNNNNNNNNNNNNNNNNNNNNNNNNNNNNNNNNNNNNNNNNNNNNNNNNNNNNNNNNNNNNNNNNNNNNNNNNNNNNNNNNNNNNNNNNNNNNNNNNNNNNNNNNNNNNNNNNNNNNNNNNNNNNNNNNNNNNNNNNNNNNNNNNNNNNNNNNNNNNNNNNNNNNNNNNNNNNAUAUGGCAUCUGCUGCCAAUUCAUCAUUCAUCAUGUAUAAUUGUAUAUCGCAAUAUAUACGGAGUAAAAUACAUGUUAACUUGGUUAACCGGCUUGUCCGCUUUAUUUGGUUUGGUCAUUGUAUUAUUCAGUAAAGUGCAAAAAUGCGGCCACUAGUUUAUUUUCCUGUACAUAUAGUAUCUAUCUUGAGUCGACGUGGCUGCAGGGCCCACCUGCCAGCCAGCUGUCGAAACCAUUGUCCAUCUUUGUUGUGCCCAUUGUUCGUUUGCUCUUUCCGAGACUAUGUUCAUUGCCUCUAUUAUGCCUGAUGCUGAAGAAGAAAACUUUGAAGAAUCAUCAUGGUUGUAACUAUCCAUGGAAAGACUUUUCCUACACAGUAGAAACAAAACGUCUUGUGUUUGCUAGUUAAAAACUCUGCUCUGCGGAUGCAACGCCCAUUCAGAAAAUGUCGGAAGUUCUAAUUUUGCUAAACUUAAUGUGAUGAUGGCAUCAGAAAACUGCUGGCAUUUCCAUUUUCUAGUACAACAGUGGUUCUGUAUUGGGUUCAGUUCAGUUCAGAGUGUGUCAAACAGAACAAAAUCCAACCCUGCAUUGACAGCAAUGUGCAUGCAGAGUCGCAGAAUCUGCACCGCAGCGGUAACAAAGUUGAGCAACCGGCCGUACAUACAAGUCAGAUCCAUCAAACUAUCCACAAAGGUUAAUCAACAACACCAAACAUGCCAAGUUAUCAUCUAACCCAAUCCCGAAUUUUGAACUAGCACUGCAAAUCAGGUAGUACUAAACCCAAGCCUGUCGAGUUUGGGUGCUACAACGAAUGAUGCUGUACUCUGAAACAAUGGACUUCAUCGAAGUCCGAGGUUAUAUGUUAUGCUUGUUCUUGAAUGACUUCCUGGACCUCCAUCAUUGUCAGCUUCUUUCUGCGACCGGAGACUGGAGUGGCUGAGCUUCGCUGAGAUAGUAGCCGACCUCUUUGUGUGGCUGUCACUUCUUUUGGACUUGUAAUCUGUGCUUAUGGGUUUUUUCCCUGAGGUAGAUGUUCAGACCAAUUUCUUAAAAAAAUGUGGAUGUUCCGACAUCGGGGCAUUAGCAGCUGGUUUUCCAUAAGCGCUCAGACUCGCUUCACUCUUUGCCCCCGUCCCCUGCUAUGCUUGUAAGAACAUGCUAUUUUUGUGUGAAUGGAAAGGGGGUAAUCCAGUUCGAGAUGGUCACAACUGUCAAGGUUAACCAUUUUCUUUAUAGAGGAGACAGACUGAAUGGUUGUUUCUGCCAUACUCGCCCACAAAAUAUUUUGUUUAAGGGCCUUUUUUGGUUCACAUGAUUCAAUAAACACAGGAACAAGAAGAAAAACACAAGAACUUACUAGAUUGAGCCAAAAAAUCCUAUGGAAUGGUACUGUAAGAAAGCACACAAAUUCAGAGAAUAAAAACUAAUACAAAUCUGUUGGACACUAGUCACAUCAUACAACUACGCACAAGCCAAUCUAGCGCACUACAAGCACAUAUACGUGCAGAUUAUUGGUGAAAGAAAACAAAGAGCUGCAGCUUAUAUAGUGUGAAGCAUAUAAGUGUCAUAAAUACAGCCAGGUACACUUCAUUUUGUUCACAACAAUCCGCUGCAUGGUGUCGAUGCAAUUGAAGAAUGCAAACCGCCAGAUCUUGCAGAAGAACAAUGCUCCAAACCAUACCCAGAAACCGAAGACAGUUCCAGCAAUCACCGAGUAGUACGACCACACCGUUUCAUGUUCAUGGUCGCCAUCAACUGGUGUUGUACUACUCGAAUUGUUUGUGGAUGGAAUGCUCAAUGGAGGGCCACAAAGUCCAAGGUUAUUUCCGUAGAUCAAUGGGUCCGCAAGUGUUUGGAGCUGACUGCUUGUAGGUAUCUCUCCAGACAGAGGUUGUUGGAGAGGUUGAGAGUGGUGGGGGACGUCAGGUUUGAGACACUAGGAGGAAUAGGACCGGAUAGUUUGUUCGAAGAGAGGUCAAGGGAUUCUAAUAAAUUUAGAUUGCCAAUAUCCAUGGGGAUACUACCAGACAGAUUAUUUCUUGAAAUAUUUAGUAACUGCAUGCCCCUGAGACUUGUCAGCUCUGAAGGGAUUUCACCGGAUAGAGAAUUACCAGAGAGAUCAAUACCAGUCACAAAUGCAUGUCUUCCCUCAAAAGCGUACUACCGCCCCUUCCAAAUUAUGUCCAUGCUGCCAUUGUAAAAAUAAAAAUAUCUAUAGGUGGUAAGUACUAUGACAUUUGUUACAACUGGUUGCAUCACAAAAGUCUGUCUCAUCAAGGAGAAGUUGACCAAACUUUCUGGUAUGGAACCUAUAAAAUUACGGUCUGUCUAGGUCUCAGUCGACUGCUCAGUCGGCUGACAUCAUCACAUGUAGAUAAGGCCUAGUAACUAGCUCCCUUUCUCAUAGGUUGAAUCCAGCUUAGCACCUGGGCUUAUUUUCUUUUUCCCUUAUUUGUUUGUUUGUUACUUUUGGGUUGGGCUGAUCACUUUGUUUGUUGUGAUUCGGCUGGGUCAUGAAGUUUUUAUUUGUGGGCCCGGACUACAUAGAAAAAGACAAAAAAAAACCUGUUUCCUACUCUGCUUUAUGAACUAUAUAUACUUUUUGACUGGUGGUGAUGAACAGACGCUGUCAAGCAAACAAACAAAAAAUGUGAGGCUCUUAACAAAAAAUAAGUGCUCUACUUCAAAACCAGUUUAAAGUUGUUUCACAAAAGAGCAAAAAGCAUAUCCACCAGUGAUGAAAAAUUUCAUAUACAAAAAAACAUGCAUAAAUUAACUCUGUUUUACAGAAAAAGCAGCAGUUUCAUCAUCUCUGUUUUCAAGUAUUCAUAUACAAAAAACAUAAAAAAAAAACACCUCACUAAAACCAACCUGAGUGAAAUCAAACACAGCCUUGUUCAACUGUAUGCAUCAGUUAACUCAAAACAUUGAAAAAAUAGCAGCAGUGGCAUCCUCAUGCCACCAAAAACAUACAUACAACAGGGAAUGGGUCGGGGCACCAUAUAUGUUUCAAAAGCUGGCAUUAGCAAUUCCGUAGCUACAUCAUAUGUACGUGGACGCAUAAACUAACAGGUGCAGAUCACUUGCACGGUAGUACUACAGGAGGACUGACUACUUACAAGCAUGUUGCUUAAGAUAUCCACUGAGAGUGAACUUGGAUACUUGUAAAUUCACAAACACAGAAUGUCUACUGAUAGUGAAUCGAAUUAGACUGACGCUCUCAUCAAGCACAGAAAAUUCAGAUGUACUCCUACCAAAAAAAAAAUGUGCAGAUUCCAAACAAACUUAAGAUCAAAAUAUUGAAUGAGAAUGGGUCCCGGGUGCAGAUUCCAUCCAGCUUACCUAAUCAGCAGGGCGCAAGGAGUCUGGAGGGGCGACGGGAUCGCCGAGCAUCUCGUUGCAGGCGUCGCCGAGCAUCUCGUUGCAGGCUUCGCCGAGCAUCUCGUCGCCGGUGAAUUCCGUCACGGAAACCUUCGAUGUGCCCGCCCCCGUGAUGCAGCUUCCUUCCUCUCCCAUUUCCUCUCUCUGUCUAUGCUCGUCUCUCAAUUCAAACAGUGUCGUUGGGUGGCCUCGAGAAAGAUGUUGAGCCUGGGUCCACAUCCCAAAGACAAGGAAAAUAAAAAAACAGCAUCACACCGUCUAUAGUCACUCCCUUCCUUCACAACAACAUUAAAAAUGUGUCCAAGGAUCUGGACAAGUAACUCUUCUCUCCUUUAAUAUGCUUCUUCUAUUUUGAGAAAAUGAUCUCCUGUCAGAAUCAGAUACAAAACAACAAAUUAAUUUUCUUCUUAAUCCUUGGGAAAACAAAAAAAAUGCAAAAAUAAAUAAGGAAAAAAUUGUAGUCCCUCCGUAAACUAAUAUAAAAGCGUUUAGAUUACUACUUUAGUGAUCUAAAUGUUCUUAUAUUAGUUUAUGGAGGGAGUAUAUGAUUUUAAAAAAAAGAUAAAACUCAAACUAGUUGUGAGGUCGGGUGCUUGAUUUGUGUUUGCGGGCAUGGCAGAAAACGGGGGUGUUAUGGUGCUCGUGUGACACAUAGCGAGGAUAGAGGAUUUACGGAGAAGGUGCCCCCUUCCGACCAGGCAAAAAAGUCUAGUUGCAAAUUUUUUUGUAAAAAGACAUGUAGUUAUAGUCUGGGGGACAGCGCUUGGAAUUGCAUGCACGCUUCUGCUGUUGUAUCCUGUAUAUAUAUAGAUCGAGGUGAUGUCCGCAUACAUGCAUAUCUCAAUCGUAUAUGGUCGAUCAUGUAUACAUGGCAUGUAUAUAAGGUAUGUACGAUUUGAGUGUUUAGGACAGCAACUAGGUGUGUCUUGACGCCAUGAGCAGGGCGCUGAUUGCGGCUGGGUGUCUUCUCGCGUAGCUUCUUUGAUGGUGCUACGUCGGCUCUGUGGGGCUUUGUACUCCAUUUUUCUUUUCUUUUCGGGCAUAAUUGUGAAGUUCCCUAGCAGGCCCUUUAUUUUUAUGUUUGACCCGUGAACUUGUUGUGUAGACGUGAUGGUUUGCCUUCAUAUAUAAAGCUGGGUGAAAGCCUAUUUUGAGACUUGGUGACCCCGCCUAACAACUUGUGUGACGAUAAGUAGGACACGAUACUCGAUUUGCCUAUCUUAGGACUUGUUGAAUGCAAGGUGCUUAGGGGAGGUUCUUAGAGAAAUAAACCAACUUUUCUUCAUGCAUCAAUGCUUAUUUGUAGAGGGUAGAUAUUUAAUUAGGCACCCUUCUUAUAGAGAUAACCGAUGGUGCUUAAACAAGAAACUUAAAGGUUUUUCUUUAAUCAGUGGACGUUCACAUACAUUAAUGUACACUCCCCUAUGAAUGCACACACGCACACUAUCCCUUAUGAGCAUCUCUGAGAAACUGAAUCAACGGGUCGUGAGAUUGACGAAGUCACACCAUGUGCAUCGCUAUCGAUGGGCUCAUCGCUUACACCCAAAGAAUAAGUCAUUAUACCCUGAAAUAUAUCUGGAGAAGUGCAAACACCCUUCUCAAGUCAAGGACUUGAACCCGGUUGCUUCCACCACAAGGAACAUAACAAACUGUGCUACGCUCAAUUCACCAAAGAAAUAAUGGUUUGCGAUGUAUUAACCCUAUAUGUGUCUCUUUUCCGACUCUUUAUUUUUAUUCAACUUCCAGAUGAUAACCUCCCACAUGACUCAUAACACAAAACAAGGAAAAAAAAGGACUUGACUUGGCCGCAACGUGAACCAGCACGGUUCUGGCCUACAUAUAAACUAGCUACAGAUUCUACAGGAGUGAUCGGAUCGAAUCAAAUUUACAAAUUAACUUACUGUAACGCAAACUGAUCUACUCGACAUAAACACACAUAACUUCAUCCUGGCCAGAGGACGUCGAUCACCGCGCGGCUGUUGUCACCUUUUUCGAGGCUAAUUCUUCUUAGACGGUGUCGUCUGUUUCAUCUGCUUCUUCUGAGGCAGGAGCGACUUCCUACUAGAGGCUGCUGUCUUGGUCAACUGCGUAUUGCUUGACGAUGCCUUCGCCUUCUUUGGGGGAACCUUUGCAGCUUGCUCGCCCAUGACAAGAUCUGCUUCUCUUCCAAUAAUUCUUCUUCUACGGUGAGGUAGCUGAGGUGAGGUGGAUAGUGUUUACUUUGCUCCGGUUGGGUUGAGGAAGCCUGCGGUAAUGGCUCCAUAUAUAUAGGAGGGGGAAGGUCUUUGAGAAAGCGCUCCGACCGGACGACGCGCUUCCACCGUGCGUGAGAAUGGUUUGGUGGCGUUAAUGUUGCCAGUGCCGGUCAGUCUCUUUUGUUUUGUUUUGGGAGUAGAUAUUUACUAUAUUCAAUGCAUUGUUCUUCAUGGAUGGGUAUGCGGUUGGGUCAAUGGUUGUGGUCGCUGCCGCGUUGGUCUUCGUUUCUCCUCCUGCUCCUUAUAUUACUACUAACAUGAGAAUACGUGUUGGUGGUGCAGUUUUGGUAGCACACGCCAUACACUCACACUGCUUGUUAGUUGUUAGUCAUAUAUAUGCAUGUACUGUACGUCAAUCAUCAUUGAUGUAGUAAGUACAUACGAUGUUGCCAUUGCAGGACAUGUUUUGGUAGAGCUUGAGUUUAGAUUAGCUAAACCGAUUGUUAUGAAUUUAUCAUGUGCUACAAAUCUUGUAUAUAUGUUUGUAACUUUGUAUAUUAGUUAGGUGUCGAGUUGAGAAACGGGAGACAAGAGAGUUAUUUCUCGAUGUUCAGACCUAGUGAGGGAGAAGUUUUCUCUAUUCUUUUCAACGGAAUUCUUCAGUUAUUAUGGCUUGCUCACUAUUUGGUUUUUGGGUGUUUGCCUAAAUUCGAAACUUUUGAUGGCGGGCAAAAAAUAUGUCAACCUUUUCCCCUCAACAUGGUUGGACCAAUACUGAGGUGCGGGAGACAAGAGGUGGUACCAUAUGCCAGCGUAUGUCAAGUGUUUGAAACAAAUGCAUCACAUUACAUAUUAGACGUAUAGAUGUUCAUCAUACAUUUAAAAUAUUAAGAUGCUUUUGAAAAAUCUCUCCUUCUGAAAUCCUAACUGCCAUGACUCAAUUAUGCAGGGAUUCUUGAAAGCAUACUAACUACCUACUACAAAGUAGCCAUACGAACUAACUAUUGAUCAUACUAAUCUAUCCAUAUAUACCUAGUGUUGAUUCAGUCGGAAAGCAUGAGGCAUGCCGCGCCACUAAAGCCAUCAAACAUUAGUCAAAUUAUAUUUCAUCAGCUGGCCAGUAGGCAAAGAUCAUGUCAAGGUUCAAAAAUGAAUAGGAGUCGGCCGGCCUUCACAUCGCACGCACAAGCUGCCUAGCUUGGCCGACCUUCUCUUCUUUAUUUAAUUUACUCCUCCUGCUACCACUGCAUCUCGUUAACCACUAAUAUUUGAGCAAGUUAAGUAAGUUAAUACCACUGCAUAAGAACACCGCUCAACCCCUCUCUAGAGUCUUGCCGCUGCUCAAUUGCUACCUCCCUACCUUGAGCCGUUCCACUUAUUUUCCAUGGGGGUAAUGCUAGCUGUAAUUGGUUGCUGAUAUGGCAGUAAGACAACUCUGAACUCCACCACUGGACUUCUCCAGUCUUAGAUCGCUUCUAACGAAUUUCGCAAGAAACUGGGACGAACACACACAAGCCAGAUGUAGUUCAUUAAUCAUGUAUACUUCUUUUCUGAUUCAUUUCUUUUAUUUGUUCAUCCGACAACAUGACUCGAUAACACCAGGAAAAACAUAAAUAGCCGCAACAUGAACUGGCACACUUAAAAAAAAUUGUUGGAAAAACUUCCAUUCUAUUCAUCAAUAUCAUUAUAGUACAAAGUACAACACAGGUAAUAUAAAUUCCAUCCAAGUCCAUAGACCAUCUAUUCAUCAAUUGGAACACACUGGCUUACAUGUCACGGGCUCGAACCAAUCGAGUUUAUAAAUGUAUUAACUUACUGUAAUAUAACUGAACUCGUCUCAACACACUUAACUUCAUCGAAGAUGGACGCCGUAGAUGGAUGGAGAUCAUCGGCGUGUGCUAGAAGCGGUUGGACGUGUGGGAGCGGCACGACUACGACUUGUCGUCGCAGACAAGGGCGGGGCCGUCGUCCUAGCCGUUCUUGAGGUCGAUGCACCCGGACGCAACGUCGUUGGCUGGUUUGAGGCCACUGUUGCUCUAGUUGACGUUCGUGAGGUCCCAGACGGAGCAGCUCUUGUUGACAUUCUCGAGGUCACAAGAGGAGCCACCGUCGCUGAUGCUGUUGACGUUCUUGAGCUCGUGUAUGAAUUUGCCGUUGUUGACGUUCUUGAGAUCGCAUGCGGAUUUGAGGUUGUCGUUGUUGAGGUCGCAUACCGAUUCGCCGUUGUUGAAGUUCUUGAGCUCGCACGCGGAUUUGCCGUUGCCGGCGUUCUUGAGGUAGCGGGUUGAGCCGACGUUGCUGAUAUUCUUGAGCCCGCGGGCUGAGCUGCCAUUGCUGACGUUCUUGAUGCAGUGGAGGAAGCCACCCUUGCUGAAGAUCUUGAGGCCACAGGUGUAGCCACCCUUGGUAACGUUGUUGAGGCCACCGGCGGAGCCACUGUUGUUGACGGUCUUGAGGUAGUCGCCGGUGUUGGUGUUCUUGGGGUUGUGGGCGCACCCGCCGGUGACCUCGCCUUCUUCUGACCGAGAAACUUUGCUGGAAACAUGACACAAUUUUGUUUUGCUUCCUUUUCUUCUUCGAGAUCAGGUGAGGUAAGGUGUAUGUGGUGGUUGCUUUGCUCCGGUUGGGUUGAGGGAGCCUGCAUCGAUGGCAAUGUAUAUAUAUAGGAGCAUAAUGCGUUGUUGACGUGCUCCACCAGUCAGUCUCUUUUGUUUUGUUGGAUAUAUAUAUGUAGUACAUAUGUAUAUUCACUGCAUGCAUUAGUUUUUGACGGAUGGAUGGAUGCGGGUGGUCAAUGGUCGUGGUCGUCGCCGCGUUGGUCUUUCUUUCUUAUAUACAUAUAAGAAUUAGCGUUAGGUGGAGGUUAGGAAGCAGACGCUAAUAGAGUAAGGAUAAAAUGCAUAAUUACAUAAAAAUGUAAACAACAUGCCCUUGUUUACUGGUGCUGACUCGGUCGGGUAUUGCGCACAAGGCAAGCUACGCACUAUCACUACUACACAACAAAUCGUCGCACACGGUUUCAAGGCCGUGUCGACGAUCCGUUCGUGGGCAGAGAGGAUCAGUCCAUGAACACAAAUAUGGGAGACAGCUAUCCAAAGCUGCCUGCAUACGUUUGAAACACUUUUUCAACAAACCGGAUGUACCUCACGCAAACACAUCAGAUUACAUACAAACCUGGCGAAAACAUUUAUAUUUUUGACAUAUUUUAACCAAAGAACUAAUACUAUGUGCACGUACGACGGCACGGAGGUCCACUAUCAUGACACCAAUAUAUUACACUAGUCUACGGCCGGCCGCGGAGAAUCCCUUUGUCUUCCCCUUGUUAGGCAGUCCGGUCACUCAUCGGACUGCCGGAAGCCCCGGAGAUAUAUUCCUCCCCCGUAUCUUUCCUAUGUCUGGCUGCGCCGCUUAUCGGAGUGGAAAAGGUGGUGCUUCAGUUGGAGGCGAAGGGGGGAAUCCGAUUCCGUGAAGCGCGGUUCAAGGUUGGUUUUUGGGGCGGGGGAAGAUGGUGGACCGCGAGACAGGGCGAGACAUUUGUUGUGCAUGCGUCGCUCACCAUCGGUGCGCUCCUCCACCAGCCUGCACUGUCGUCAGUGGUCUAGGUACGCAUAUGGCCUCCUGCGCCAGCGUGACACCAAGCCAAACGGGGGUGCGGGGGCCCACUCCCGCAGCUGGCCGGUCCACAUGUACCGCUCAGCCGGCUCGGGCCUAGGCGUCGUCAGGGUUAGUGGCGGCGACGACGGCGGCACCAUGCAGUAGGCGGGCUCCUCCGCUUCGGUCGCUUCGGCCCUCUGCCUGGUAGGUAGCCUCGCCCUCCUCCUGCUCCGGCUUUACGACGGGGGGAGGCGGGGGGUUGAUGUGGUGGUGCUGCGCGCCGAGACGCCUUUGCUCCUUGUGUUCAAGGGCAAACAAGCCCUGCCAAUGCGGCAUACUCGGGCACGCACCGCUGCGGCGGCGUGAGCUGCGCCCGGCACCUGCACACCAUGUCGUCGUGCGCCCACUGUGUCCGUGGAACUGCUGGUACCAGGAUCCCCUACGGAUCGAGGUGACAAUUGUGCGACAGCAUCACGUCCGGGUACGGCAACGGGUGCCUGAACUCCCAGUGCCACCAUGCUUGGUGCACCAGGAUGUGCAGACGCUGCCGGCCGGAGCAGGCAGGCGGCGACGGCAGAGGAGGAGGAGGAGGAGGAGCACGCGAGGAGAAGGCGCCGGGGGUGAACUUUCCCUUGCCCUCGCCGGAGCCAGUGCCGAAGAACCCCAUGCCUAGGGUUUCAGUUGUCGCCGGCAAGGAAACACGAGUGGGCUGGUGGGGGGCCAGAGGUAGACGGAAGUGGAUGAGGCCGACCCCCACACGCGUGGAUUAAUAAAGGUCCCCAGAUCGUCUCGACGGCUUCUCCCAUGGAUACCCGAUGUAAGACUGCGCCACGUGUCCCCAGAUUGCAUCCCUCCCACGGUACCCACUCUCCGCUGCUCCAGGUCGGCUCACGCGAUCGCUCCAUAGCUGCACACACUUCCGCUCGGCUCGAUUGGUAUGCGGCGAUAUCGUCUCACGAGACACGACACUGAACACCAUCCUCCAUCUGUUUCCGCCGUCCAGCGGAGUGGCCGCAGCGCCGGAGCGAGAGGCAAUCGUGAACACCCACUAGUGCAGAACCGGGCUUUAGUCCCGGUUCGUAAAGGCCUUUAGUACCGGUUCGGCACGAACUGGCGCUAACAUGCCACCACGUGGCACGAGCCAGGCCCGGGUGCGUGUAGGACAUUAGUACCGGUUGGUAACACCAACCGGUACUAAAUGUUUGGGGGUGUUUUGGUUUUAUUUUUUAUUUUUCCUUUAAUUUUGUGUUUUCAAUUUAAUUUAGUGAUUGUUUUACAAUAUAAUGAGUUGUUAAAUCAUUAGGUGAAAGUACCGCAGAUUAGUUUCGACUGGAUACAUGUGGAUCCUAUAGCUAAGUGAUCAAGUAUAUGCCAUAUCCAUAUUAUAAUUGAUCACCUAAUUAAGUGAUCAAGUAUAAUAUGGAUAUGGCAUAUACUUGAUCACUUAGCUAGAAUCCAUCCAGCUGGAACUAAUCUACGGUUUCUUUCAUAAAUGAUAUAAUAACUCAUCAUCAUCAUCAUAUUAAUAUAAAAACUCUUGCAUCAUAUCAUCAACAACAGUAUACUAGCUAGCUAAAAAUCAUCAUAGUCGUCAUUACCACUAUUUAAUCAUCAUAGUCAUUACCGCUAUCUAAUCACCACCAACACUAGCUUAAAUAAGAAACAUUCACUUGUACCAGAAGCAAAGAUAUCAUCGAGUUCAACAUGGUCAUGAUAUUAUAAGCGUUCAUAACACCACAAAAGCAAAUCACUCUUUGAGAUUAAGUUCAGGACGAAGAACACGGACAUGAGAGGACAAGUAUUAAGAGCAUGAACUAGCUAAAUCACUCCUGCUACUCUCUCUCAGGUAAAAAAGCAUAGAACAUGUAUAGCUCUCCUGAUUCAUCAUACUGGAGCAUGCAGAUGAACCUGUCUCCUAAUCGUGGGCUGCGCUUCUGAUUGCUGCCCCUAGUACUUCUCUGGGAUCGUUAACAAUUUUGCUCCAAUCUUUCACUAUUAAGCAUUCAUUGCUUUUAGAAAUUCUGAAUGCACUCAUGUGCAAUGUAGGAUAUCUUGGCUGUAAGCUAACCAUUGACAUGCGACCUUUAGUCUCGAUCGACUGAGGCACAACUGUCAUCGAGAGUCCCUGUUGAAGAACAUCGUAUAGUAAUUAAUAUACUUAGCAAUAAAAGUUUAGCUUCCAAAAUAAUGUAUGCAAAAGAUGCACUGAGGACAAAUAGUAAAAAUCUUACCAUCUUUUUCUAAAUAGAUGUGACCGUAGUUCAUUACGAUCACUAUUGGUCGCACGUUUUGAGUACUAACAUUUCGAAGUGCAGGAAGAAAAUUUGUCUUGACAGUAUGAAGAUCCUCAAGCCAUGAAACAUAAUGACUUAUCUCCUCGCAGUUUAGUUCAGCUCCGGGACAGUAGUAGGUCCUGUCUACCAAGCGCCGGACAUGGUUGCUUGAAUGAAAAUAAGUUGUCAAUAGAAAUUAGUUGUUAACUAUUUUUGAAAUAAACAAUAUCAAAGACAUAAAUAUGGUUGAGAACUCACAUAAUGGUAGAACUGGAGGCGUCUGCACAUCGACCCAGAUGUCUCUAUUACCUUCAAUAUCAUCUUCGAAUAUCAAAGGUGAUAACCAUAUCAGGCUCAAAUGCAUAAGCCUUGCAUAGUGUUUGCCAAGUUUUGCAUUCAAAAUAGGUGUAUGUGUCUGCAUUGGAUAAUUUGAUGUUGAAAGUAUAACCAUGCUCGGUCUUCAGGUAAACUCUCUUUACCUCCAUAGUUUUCAUAGCACUGAAACCUAUCUUAUUCAAGACAAAAAUUCUUGCAUGGCAGGGGAUGCGCUAGUAGAAUAGUGAAAAUUUAAAAUUAUAAGUUGAAGCAAAUGAAGCAUAUAUAAGUCAUGCUUAAUUACGAAAAAAGAUUUGUCGUUGUGACUUACUGUAUCCACUUCGAUGGUCUCAUCCAGCUUGAUGCUGAAGCGCCUAUCAUCAACAAGGAAAUUUCUGUCGCACAGGCCGCGCUGGUCUUCAUAGUAUUCGCAUAUAAUGAAAUAUUUUUACUCGUCACCGCACAACCUGCCACACGUCUUGACAACACAGGAGAAAAACUUUACUUAACGUGAACCAGCACGCUUCUGGGCUACAUGAAAACUAGCUAUGUGGACUUCACGGGCUAGAUCGAAACAAGUUUACAAAUUGACUUAUUGCAACCUAAACUAACCUACUUGACACAAACACACCUCACUUAAUAAUCGAGUAUACAAAUUGACUUAUCGCAAAUCUAACAUAGUUGACAUAAACACACUUAACUUCAUCAUGCAGGCCAACGUGGAUGGGGAUCUCCGAGCAGCUCGAUGGGUGGCUGGACUCACUUGUUUUUGGGUUUCUUCUUAGACAGCAGCGUCUGCUUCUUCUUUGAGGUCGUGGGUUUCGUCUUGGUCACCACCUUCUUCUUCUUAGACGAAGCAGACGGUGCCUUCUUCACCUUAGCCUUCGCCUUCUGAGGGAGAUACUUUGUACCUGGCUUUCCCAUGACGCAAUCUGCUUCUCUUCUUCUUCUAGUCGAUGUGGUGUUUUCUUUGCUCUGGUUAGGUUGAGGGAACUUGCGGCAACGGCAGCAUUUAUAUAGGCCGGACAACACGCUUCUCCCAUGGUAAAUAAUAGUUUGGUGACAUUGCCGGAGCCAGUCAGUCUCUUGAUUUGUUUUUUAGAAGAAUUGUUAUUGACAGAUUAAUGUGGUUGGGUUAAUGGUCGUGGUCAUUGCCGCGUUGGUCUUCUUUUUUUUCUUCUCCUCAUUAAACUACUAUUACUACCACAUCAGAAUUAGCUAGCGUUAAACAAAUGAAUUAGCUAGCAUUACUGAUUACGUUUUAGGUAUAUACGUGUAGUCUUAUGCGUAUGCAUAUCUACGUCAUGAGUUAUAUAGAUCGGUGAUGUACGCAUACACGCUUUUGCUGUUGUAUCUUGUAUAAGAUGUUCAACUAGUUCUUGAGCUUGGAUUAUCUAAACAAUUUUAAUAGUGUAUGGUCGAUCAUGUCUAGUCAGUAUUAAUAGCGUUACUGAUCAUGUAUACAUGGAGUAUAUAAGGUAUGUACGAUUUGGGUGUUUAGUACAGCAACUGGGUGGCCUCGCACUCGAGGCAGCGGGAUAAGGAGUGUCUUGACGCCAUGAUCAGGGUGCUGAUUGCGGCUGGGUGUCUUCUCGCAUAGCUUCUUUGAUGGUGCUGCGUCAGCUCUGUGGAGCUUUGUACCCCAUUUUUCUUUUCUUUUCGGGCAUAAUUGUGAUGUUGCCCUAGCAGGCCCUUUAUUUUUAUGUUUGACCCUUGAACUUGCUGUAUAGACGUAAUGGUUUGCCUAUAUAUAUAAAGCUGGGCGAAAGCCUAUUCCGAGACUCGGUGACCCCGUCUAAUGACUUGUGUGACGGUGAGUGGGACAAGAUACUUGAUUUGCCUAUCUUCGGACUUGUUGAAUGCAAUGUGCUUAGGGGAGGUUCUUAGAGAAAUAAACCAACUUUUCUUUAUGCAUCAAUGCUUAUUUGUAUUGGGAAGAUGCUUAAUUAGGCACCCCUCCUAUAGACAUAGCUGAUGGUGCUUAAACAAGAAACUUAAAGGGUUUUUUAAUCAGCGGACGUUCACAUAGAUGAAUGUAUACUCCCGUAUGAAUGCACACAUGCACACUCUAUUUCCUAUGAGCACCUCCGAGAAAUUGAACCAACAGGUCGUGUGAUUGACGAAGUAACAACAUGUGCAUCGCUGCCGAUGGGCUCGUCACUUACACCCAAAGAACAAGUCGUUAUACCCUGAAAUAUAUCCGGAGAAGUGCAAACACCCUUCUCAAGUCAAGGACUUGAACCCGGAUGGAUAGCUUCCACCACAAGGAACAUAACAAACUGUGCUACGCUCAAUUCACCGAAGGGAUAAUGGUUUGCGAUGUAUUAACCCUAUAUGUAUCUCUUUUCUGACUCUUUCAUUUUAUUCAACUUCCCAACAAUAACCUCUCACAUGACUCAUAGAACAACAGAAGGAAAAAAAAGGACUUGAAUUGGCCGCAAAGUGAACCAGCACGCUUCUGGCCUAUAGACAAACUAGCUACAGAUUCUACAUGAGUGAUCGGAUCGAAUCAAAUUUACAAAUUAACUUAUUGUAACACAAACUGUCCUACUCGACAGAACCACACUUAACUUCAUCCUGGCAAGAGGAUGCUGAUCACCGCGCGACUGCUGUCACCGUUUUUUAGGCUAAUUCUUCUUAGACGGCGUCGUCUGUUUCAUCUGCUUCUUCUGAGGCAGGAGCGUCUUCCUCCUAGAGGCCGCUGUCUUCGUCAACCGCGUAUUGCUUGACGGUGGCUUCACAUUCUUUGGGGGAACCUUUGUAGCUUGCUAGCCCAUGACAAGAUCUGCUUCUCUUCCAAUAAUUCUUCUUCUCCGGUGAGGUGGCUGAGGUGAGGUGGAUAGUGUUUACUUUGCUCCGGUUGGGUUGAGGAAGCCUGUGGCAAUGGCUCCACAUAUAUAGGAGGUGGAAGGUCUUUGGGAAAGCGCUCCGGCCGGACGACGCGCUUCCACCGUGUGGGAGAAUGGUUUGGUGGCGUUAAUGUUGCCAGUGCCAGUCAGUCUCUUUUGUUUUUUUGGGGAUUAGAUAUGUAUUAUAUUCAAUGCAUUGUUCUUCAUGGAUGGGUAUGCGGUUGGGUCAAUGGUUGUGGUUGCUGCCGCGUUGGUCUUCAUUUCUUCUCCUCCUGCUCCUUAUAUUACUACUAUUGGUUUCAAUAGAUUUCUUCAGUUAUUAUGCUUUGUUGACUAUUGGUUUUUGGGUGUUCACCUAAAUUCGAAACUUUCGAUGGUGGGCCAAAAAUAUUUCAACCUUCUCCCCUCAAAAUGGUGGGACCCAUACUGACGUGUGGGAGACAAGAGAGUGGUACCAGGUGCCAAAGUAUGUCAAGUGUUUGGACCCACAUGUCAUACACAGAUCAUUUUAUUCAUGUUAAAUUUAGAGUGGAACAAUGUAUCUGUACAAGACACAUGCCACCAUUUUGACUAAUCCUUGUCGUUGUUGAUUUUUAUCUGUUCAAUCUAAUUCAUACAUGUCUUUUAACGUAUCUUUAAAGAAUUCGAGUUACUUUUUUUAGAGUACGCAAAUUGUGUACCAUAGCUUUACAGAAGAGAGAAUUUCAAAUACAAGGCAACUACAACUUGCUGCGAACAACGAGCGUAGCAAAAACUCCACUCCACCCAUGACAAAGCAACAAUUCCACUCCACCCACGACAAAGCAAUAACAACGGAGAAGCGCCUGCCUAAAACCGAAAAAACCUUGCCGCAUCUAGACCGACGCAGGCCAACUCCGAAGAAACACCAACUCUCACCGAGCUUUCCUUGUUGAUGCACCAUCCACCCUUUAUGCCUAAAGGAGGUUGCAAGUGAACGGCCGGACUCAAUCAGACCCGAAAAGCCACCGUCUUGGUAUCACUAGUGACGGUCGUACAUUGUGCCGCGGUAGAUCGAACAUGGACAGUGGCGAACACCGGAGGAGCGCAACGAAGGACCUCCAAACCACAUCUCCAGGCAUGACGCUGCCAACAGAGGAACAGCGUCAAGGACGCCGCCAUCGUGCUGAUCCUGCAAAUCAAGGCUUUCGCCCGGAGACAACUACCAAUGCCAAGCGAGGGAGGGAGAUGGUUGCACGCCUCGACGACACCUCCAAGGGCGGAAAAGACACCUGCGGGUGCCCUCACCGCCGGCCGGCAAACCUCGGGCAAGACUUUCGUCCGUAUCGCCGCACAUCUCCACACCUCCAAGGAUUGUGGCAGCAGCGUCCUAAUAGCCUCACACUGCUGCCACCGCAGCACACCACCGUCGAAGCCGCACAACCAUGGUCCAUUGACAUCAUGCACAACAACGAGAAACGCAGUACAAUAUUCCAUGGUCGGUGUCCAUCAGAGGUAUAUCUACCACUAACGGGACACAUUACGGCACCGCUCGGUGCCCUUAUCUCUUCCUGUGAUGGAUUUCUUUUGUCCUUUUUAUGUAUUAACUAGUUUUUUUAUUUCACCACAAUUUGAACAUCUUAAGACCACAAAUCACACAUUUCAUUCAAAGCAAAUGCAUAUUGCAUUACACAUUGGUCAUAUAGAUGUUCAUCGUACAUUUCAAAGAUUAAGAUGCUUUUGAAAAAGCUAUUGGUUUGACCCCCUAAUUGCCACUGCUCAAUUAUGCAGGGAUUCUUGAAAGCACACAGUACUAACUACUAUUACGAAGUAGCCAUACCGACUAACUACUGAUCGUACUCCAUGGAAUACAAUUGAGUUGCACCGCAUAUCCUUUCUACAUGGUAUCAGUUUUACCGCGAUCUCCUCUCGCUUCCGCAACCCGCAGCCGUUGCACCCUCCCGUAGCUGCCGCUGCCGCCAACUCCAAACCCUAACGCCGCCGCCACUACCUCUCCCGUAGCUGCCGCCGCCUCCUCCUCCUACCCAAAACCCUACGCCGCCGCUGCUCCCUUCUUCCCACAACCGUCGUUGCUCCCGUCUCCCCAAACCCUAGUGCCGCCGCCACUGCUCUUCUACAGCCACCGGCGCCCCUUCCCUCGGCCCCCACCCAAACCCUAAGCCGCCGCCGCUACUCUCUUCCUCCUGUAACCUCCGCUGCCCCCUUCCCAUCACCCGACGCCACCAUGUCCCGCUCCAAGGCCGACCCAUCCGACGCGGGUUCUUUCGCGGUGCCAUGUUCACCUCCGACCGCCUCAAUGAACUUCACAUCAAAGACCACGUACCCGUCAUCCUCGACCUCGACUCGCCAUCCUACAACGCAUGGCGCACCUACUUCGCGCUGCUCUUCCACUCUUACCGUCUCAUCGAGCAUGUUGACGGGAGCGUCGACUUCCACGACAUGAAGGACGACGACGAGUGGCUUGCUGUGGACGCCUGCAUCGUCAAGUGGCUCUUCCUCACCAUCUCCGGCGGCCUCUUCAACAUGGUGAACUCCCGCGACCCGUCGGCGUACGCUAUGUGGACGCGGCUGUGUGACCUCUUCCCCGACAAUCAACUCCAACGCCGCGUCUUCCUUCAAGGGGAGUUCUUCACUAUGCAGCAAAACGAUCUUUCGAUCGAUGAGUAUUGCACGCGGCUGAAGGUUCUUGCCGACGAGCUGCGCGAUGUCGGCAUGAACAUCGACGACUCUGUCCUCCUCACCAACCUCCUUCGCGGCCUCCACCCCGACCUUGGCCAGUCCGCCGCCAACCUCUCCCUCGUCAUGCCGACGUACGCGAAGACAGUCACGUACCUUUGCAUGGAGGAGAAGCGCCUCCAUCACUCCGCCCGGCAGGUGACCCACGCCACACUUCACGUCGGCCUCGCCGCUGGCCACAGCGCUCUUUCAGCCCCGCCAGCGCCGCGCGCGCCUACUCCCACCCCACAACCCGCGCCCGCGCCCUCUGGUGGCCGCAAGCAGAAGGGUGGCGGGGGUCGGGGCUGCAACGCCAACACGGCGCAGCGCCCUCCCGCGACCAACGCGGCUGCUCCCCCUCUGCCGUGGCUCUCGGGGUACAAUCCUUUCUACACAUAGUGUUGAUUCAGUCGGUAAGCACUAGGCAUGCCCCACCACUACAGCCGUCAAACAUUAAUCAAAUUAUAUUUGAUCAGCAGGGCCAGUAGGCAGGGAUCAUGUCAAGUUUCAAAAAUGAAUAGGAGUGGGCCGGCCUUCACAUCGCACGCACAAGCUGCCUAGCUUCGUCGACCUUCUCUUCCAUAUUUAGUUUGGUCCUCCUAGUAGCACUGCAUAGCGUUAAGCACUAAUACUGGAGCAAGUUAAGUACUUUGUUAAUACCACUACAUAAGAACACCGCUCAACCUCUCUCUAGAAUCUUCCCGCUGCUCAAUUACUAGUGCACUACCUUGAGCCGUUCCGCUUAUUUCUCAUUGGGGGUAAUGCUAAAGAAUAUCAGGAAGAAACUGGAAUGCACACACACAAGACAUAGGUAGUUCAGCAACGUGUUAAUUAAUCACCCAAUAAUUUGACUCAAUGACACCAGGAAAAACAUAAAUAUCUGCAGCGUUAACUGGCACUUUUUUUUUGCGAGAAAAACUUUCGUUCUAUUCAUCGGUGUCAUGGCAGCACAAAGAACAACACAAGUAACAUAAAUUACAUUCAAUUUAUUUAGCAAUUAGCACACUUUUGGCUUACAUCUCACGGGCUCGAACGAAUUGAGUUUACAAAUUUAUUAACUUACUGUAACAUAAGUAAACUGGUCAGAAUGCACUUAACUUCAUCGAAGAUGGACGACGUACAUGGACGGAGAUCAUCGACGCAUGCUGGGAACUGGUGGACGUGUGGGAGUGGCACGACUACAACUUGUUGUCGCAGAAAAGGGUGGGGCUUUCGUCCUAGCCGUUCUUGAGGUCGGCGCACCUGGCUGCAGUGUCGUCGACCGGUUUGAGGCCACCGUUGCUCCUGUUGACGCUCUUGAGGUCGCAGCAGAACGAGCGGCUCUUGCUGACAUUCUUGAGGUCGCAGAAGGAGCCACCGUCACUGAUGCCGCUGACAUUCUUGAGGUCAUGGACGAAUUUGUCGUUGUUGAUGUUCUUGAGGUUGCGGACGGAUUUGUCGUUGUUGACGUUCUUGAGGUUGCAUGCUGAUUUGCAGUCGUUGAAGUUCUUGAGGUCGCGGACUGAUUUGCCGUUGUUGACGUUCUUGAGGUCGCGUGUGGAUUAGCCGUUGUUGAAGUUCUCGAGGUAGCGGGUUGAGCCGACGUUGUUGAUACUCUUGAGCGCGUGGGCGGAACUGCCAUUGCUGACGUUCUUGAUGCGGUGGAGGAAGCCACUCUUGCUGACGAUCUUGAGGCCACAGGUGUAGCCACCCUUGGUGACUUUGUUGAGGGCACGCGCGGAGCCACCAUUGUUGAUGGUCUUGAGGUAGCCGCCGGGGUUGGUGUUCUUGGGGUUGUGGGCGGACCAGUCGGUGGCCUCACCUUCUUCUGACCGAGAAACCUUCCUGGCAACAUGACUGAUCUUCUUCUUCUUCUUCUUCUUCUUCUUCUUCUUCUUCUUCUUCUUCUUCUUCUUCUUCUUCUUCGGUUGGGUUGAGCUGAGCUGAGUGAGGUGGAUGUGGUGUUUGCUUUG